GGAAAGGAGGCAGUGACUGCAGCUCAGGCCUUAACUGCAACACCUGAUAGCAGGCUGAGUGCUGAGCCAUGUAACCUGGAAGGGCAAAGCCCAGCCUACUGAAAGCCUAGCUCCUGUGCUAAAAGAAGAGGCAGUAUGGUCCUGACUCGCACUGUGGACAGAACUCCUUUUGGUCUGGAUGGCAACAGAGAGGAACUGGGACAGCACUGGAAUAAUUUGGUGAGUAGAUGACCUUGAAGCCAGAGGUCCUUCCUAUAAACCCUCCUUCAUCCCUUCCAGGAACUGUAAGGGCCUGAAGCGUCCCAGAGCACAUUUGGAAAAGUGUACAGAAUGACUGCGGUGCCUUGGUCGAUAUUCUGCACUGGGGGAAAAGCCUUCCACAAGUCCAAGGACAUUUAACAACUACCCCAGGAUUAAUGCAAUGUGAUCCUUGAUUAUGACAUUUUCCUUAUGUUUGUCAAUCUGCCAGGAAUCAAAUGACAAAAUUUUCAGACAUGUACAGCAUAUCUGACUUUGAAAUGUUCCAGUGCAGAGGACCUGAGCAAAGGCCAAUGGAACUGUGCAUUGUCUAGAAACCUGCAGUGAUAGAUAUUCAAAGUGAAAUCCUGGCCCCAUGAAGUCAAUGAAACAGGUUUUAGUGGUGCUAUGAAUUUCAUCCAUUAUGUUUUUUGGAAAAGAUCCAGAUGUGAUCAAGGAAUUGCAGCAGUUGCAUCAUUUAAAUGGGGUCAUUUCCUGAAUCUCAUAUUUGAGCCAAUUUUGUCUCAUAAUACAAUAGUGCAAAUACAAUCCACAAACUGAAAGGGACCUGCCUGUUGUAUAAAGCAGUCUUUAUACACUCCCUAAAAUGCAUAGCAAUGACCUCCUUCAUUAAUUCCUACAUUCAAGCUAAGUUAGGAAAUUUCCAGCUUCCAUUAAAUAGGGAUAAUUAUCACUAAUUCCAUGCACAAUAACUUAUCUGUUCGAUGGGAGUGGGAAGCACUGUCAGAGAAGCAGAAAAUUCAAAUUAAUUUUACCAUAAUGUUCUUCCAUAAUUGCUCAGAGUUUCUUGGACAAUCAAAAGCCAUACUACAUUGAAAAGGAAAGGAGUGUAUUUUCUUUCUUCUUUUGUUUUGUCUUUUGCAUUUUCUAUCCUUCACAAACCUUGCAAUUGGGAUUUUACUUUUUAGCUUAAUGAAAAGCCAAGUGAUUUCUGUACAGUUGGAUAUGUGGGUGAUAAUUUAACUAGUUGGAUUAUUUAAAAACAUAGCCUUCUUUUCUAGACACAACUUCAACAAAUCCUAUUGAAAAGACUGAUGCAGCACAUAAAUAUUUAUGAUGCCCUAAAAAACUGUAACUAGAAAGUGAUAUUAUAAUGGACCAAGGAUCAAUGCUCAAAGGUUUUUUAUUAAUUAAGGGACUAAUGAAAAGUUAAAUAAAUACAUGAAAAUUUGUUGUUUAA